UACGGAGGGUGCAAGCGUUAUCCGGAUUCACUGGGUUUAAAGGGUGCGUAGGUGGGCAGGUAAGUCAGUGGUGAAAUCUUUGGGCUUAACCCGAAAACUGCCAUUGAUACUAUUUGUCUUGAAUACUUUGGAGGUAAGCGGAAUAUGUCAUGUAGCGGUGAAAUGCUUAGAUAUGACAUAGAACACCAAUUGCGAAGGCAGCUUACUACACAGUGAUUGACACUGAGGCACGAAAGCGUGGGGAUCAAACAGG
rnacentral:rRNA from 1 species